GGCCUCAUGCAGAGGUCCUGAGACAGUAGCUGCCUUGGAAUGCACGGCACAGCAACAAAGGCAGUGUGCAGCAGAUGGAGUGAGACAGAGAAGGGACGAGGAGACAGAGAGGCAGCAGGAGUCUGCACAGAAUGCUUUGGAUUCCCGAGAGCUGGCUUCCUCUGUGUGUUGUCACUGACUCCAGACCAGCUGCUCGCAGCACGGCCUGGGAGACGUUUCCCUUUGCACUUAACGACACAGCUUCAUUUUCAGCCGAGCUAUGGAAAGGCGUGGAUGUCCUCCUUGCCUUCUUCCUCAUUCCUCCCUGCUGAUUAACUUCCCGGGCAUCCUCCAAGAAUUGCCAUCAUCCUCACAAUUCAGUCUAAAAGGCGAAUACUUUCGAACCUCGCCAACGAUCACUGUGUUUCUGCUAACUGUCUGGUUUAGAUCAUGUAUUGCUUGGGCAUAUACGGAUUUCUCCUCAUUUACCAGUGGUAAAAGUUAAAUAUGAAAAAUCAAAAUUUAGUAUUCCAAGAAAAUAAUCAUGGAUAUAAGCAAAGGCUACCAAGCUGUUCACCAUGACACUGUCUUCUACAAUAGCAAGGAUGGUAAUAAAACUUAGAAAGGCCCUAAGUAUCCAUCUGUGGAAGAUUAAGAUAUAUUCUUGCAAUAUGAGAUUAAAAGCCAUACAAAUGGUCCUACAGAACAAUAUUUGAUGAUGUAGAGAGUUGUUUAUGACAGAUUAUUGGUGAGAAAAAGUUAAAACCAAUAUGUGUAAGACGGUCCCAUUUUUGUAAAUGAACCCAAACUGUACAUCUAUAGUCACAGAAAGAAAAAAAUACCCCACUGUGA